rnacentral:tRNA from 1 species
GGGAUUGUGGCUCAGUGGUAGAGCGCUUGCCUUGCACGUAGGAGGCACUAGGUUCAAUACUCAGCACCA